AUUCGGCGAGGCUGCCCCUUUUCCCCUCCACACCAUCGAGCUCUCCGAGCUCCUUCUCUCCUGGCCAUUACCGGCCACCACCAUCAUUGGCCGAUCUCCCUCACCGGAGUAAUACCGGCCAAUACCUCGCGCCAUCGAGCUUUCCUCGAUGAGAGGAUUCCAUUUUUCCCCUUUCCCCUCUCCUUUAGCCACCGCCACCACCCAUCACCGCCACCCACCAUUGCCGGCCGAAGAGAGCUCUUGUUGUCGCCGUUCCGGCAUCCUCCCUCUCCCUCUCUGCCAGCUACCGACUUCCCUGGAUGCGCGGUACUCGGGAACACUACCCGACACCGGCGUCGCCGUCUUCAAACUACCGAAGAGCCGGCGCCCCUCCUCCCUCUCUCCCUUCUGUUACCCGGCUGGAAGGAGGAGAAAGAAAGGAACGGGAGGAAGAAGAAGAAGGAAAAGAAAAAGAAAAAGAAAGGCUGACAGAGUCCAUUUGGAUCGAGUUCUUAUCAAAGCCGGGAGUUCAAUCACAUAAGUUAGUUCCCUUUAAACCUAGUCUUGAAAUCUAGUAUUGUUAGAUGGUUUAACUCUAUAGCAAAACAUUAGAGUUGAUUUAUUCUAUAGUUUCUGCUAUAUUAGUUAGCCACAAGUUUGUAAAUACCCAUGUAUUUUAUAAUAAUAUCUCCCUUGGAGCCAUGUCAAAAUGUAUGCAAUGAAGAUCCAGAUUGUUGAACAUGUAUCAAUCUACUGAUCUAGGGCUUGAUACAGUGUAAACAUGUCGGUUUCUGAAUCGUUAAUUUUGGGACCCGACACACUCCCCAAAAACUUGAUCACCCGCCUACCCGGUGCAGAUCGUGGGAACGUGGACGCGCUGUUGCGGAGGCAGUCGUGGGAACGUGGGUUAGUGGCUGCAGGUUUCUGAAUCGUUAAUUUUGGGACCUGACACACUCCCCAAAAACCUGAUCACCCGCCUACUCGGUGUAGAUCGUGGGAACGUGGACGCGCUGUUGUGGAGGCAGUCGUGGGAACGUGGGUUAGUGGCUGCAAAAGAGUAGCGACGUGACGCAUGCACGCACGCCCGCCUCGACCCCCACCUCAACCAGUCAACAGGGAGCCUCCAAUAAUUCCCUAUUUAGGAUAAGUUGGGCCUAGCCCAAUUAUUCUAACAUGGCCGACCCGGCGUCGCAGGGGCCGCUACCCCCGCCGCACCUUCUACCAGCUCGUCGACGUCAACCUAACUUGCUCUGCCUCCGCAACAACCCCAAACUCUGCCCCUCCAUGACAGACGUCACCCGAGCACUCGAGCACGUACGUCGCCUCCCAGUCCCAGCCAUGGGAAGACAAGCAACGAGCCACGCCUGAUUGAUUCAGCCCACCUCCUUCUGAGGGGCAGACCCACGAUGAUUCAUGGGUAUUCAAAUGAAUACCCAAGAUUUUUAAACAACAAAUAUAUAUAUGAAGUUCCAUAUGUAUAUAUGAAAAAAGAAAAAAAGCCUACCUAUUCAAAAGAAGCUUAAACUAAAAACGUUUCCUAUCCCUCCCACCAUUUUUCUCCCCACUAUUUCAGGCCCAUUGGUCCAAUACCAAAAAAAAAAAAAAAAAAGCCCAAACACUAGUCUAAGUUUCUAACCCUAGCUCUCACCACCAUCCCAACUCUCCCGGUCCAGCCGCAAGGCGCCGGGGCGGCAGGGCGGGGAUGAGGUCACAUUAGCCGACGGUGGUCAUGGUGACGCAGAAGCAGGAUUUGCAAUUUCGGUGGUUGCUGAAAAUUUGGUGAUACCCGGACUAAAAUUAUUUGAAUUUUUAAUAUAUUUUGAUUGAAUUUGAAUAAAUUUUGACCAAAUUUACAAAUAUUUGACAAUAAAUAAAAAAUUUUGGAGAAAUUUGUGUUUGCCAGUGGGGGCCGAAAUUAUAGAAUUUCGAAUCGAAAUUUCAAACCAUGCUUAGAAGUAAAGGGCGUCGAGGCGCGAUUGAUGCGGGUGCCGAACAUGUGGAGAGAAGGAGGCCGCUAAUAUGCAGGACCUACGUGGGUCCCACGCGCCACGUCUGCUUAGACCAGAGAGUAUACUGCCUAGGAUCUGCGGUGUAGCAGUUUUAUAAGUUAAGGGACUCGUUAUAUCUAGUAUUUCGGUUCAGGGAUGAAUUUCAGUCUCGGUGACAAAUAGAGGGAUCUAAAGAAAACUUGUCCUAGAUCCAACGGCUAACGUUAUCCUUAGUUCCUACAAUACUACAUCCAUUUUCAUUUUCUUUUAAAUAGAUGGCACCGUUGACUAUUGAUUAUGAUAUUUGAUGGAGUAAUUAUUGAUUUUAUUACAAAAUUAUAUAAUACUCCUAUAUUUUAAUGUGACCUGCUUUAUCAUUAAAGAAAUUUUAGUAUGAAUAAUAUACUAUGUUUUAAAUUAGAUGAAUAUGGUUAAAUGUUAUUUUCAAAAUACGGGUGUAGUACAUGAUACCGAAUUAUUGAUUAAGAGAAAAUGUUUGGUUCCUUCGCCAAGUUGUCGAGAGUGGGUUUUUUCUUCAUUCAAGCACAUUGUGACACAUGGAUAAAAAUGCUUCCAAAAUUUAAUCAGCUACUGUUAGAACUCGGUUCAUUAAUUAGCGUACAAAAUGGAUAUAAACAACUAGUAAUAUUUUUUUUAUGAAAUCUGGAUAAAUCUAUUUUGCAAUUUGAUUAUUCAUAAUAUGCCUCCGAUGGUACUAAUUUGACUAAUGAAAAACCAUCGUUAGUAACCCCAUACAACAUCUCAGAGAUUAGAUAUUGUUUGACACAACUUCAGUCCAAGAUGUUGGAAUUUCGUAUUCCUAGCUACAUGGAUCUAUUGAUUUGGAUGUGUGAUUAGAUGGAUGAGUGUGCGUACAUUGUAAGCGUCUGCAUUUACAUUGUAUUUCUAGAAAAAAAUGAUUGACAAUAUUUAGAAGAAUUAUUUUGUUCA